rnacentral:rRNA from 1 species
CCUACGGGUGGCAGCAGUGAGGAAUAUUGGUCAAUGGACGAGAGUCUGAACCAGCCAAGUAGCGUGAAGGAUGACUGCCCUAUGGGUUGUAAACUUCUUUUAUAAAGGAAUAAAACGAGGCACGUGUGCCUUUUUGCAUGUACUUUAUGAAUAAGGAUCGGCUAAAUCCGUGCCAGCAGCAGCGGUAAUACGGAGGAUCCGAGCGUUAUCCGGAUUUAUUGGGUUUAAAGGGGGCGUAGAUGGGUUGUUAAGUCAGUUGUGAAAGUUUGCGGCUCAACCGUAAAAUUGCAAUUGAUACUGGCAGUCGUGAGUACAGUUGAGGUAGGCGGAAUUCGUGGUGUAGCGGUGAAAUGCUUAGAUAUCACGAAGAACCCCGAUUGCGAAGGCAGCUUACUAAACUGUGACUGACAUUGAUGCUCGAAAGUGUGGGUAUCAAACAGGAUUAGAUACCCCUGUAGUC